GGCUCAGGAUGAACGCUAGCGGCAGGCUUAAUACAUGCAAGUCGUGGGGCAGCAUGAGUAGCAAUACUUGAUCGGCGACCGGCAAACGGGUGAGGAACACGUACACAACCUUCCUUCAAGCGGGGAAUAGCCCAGAGAAAUUUGGAUUAAUACCCCAUAAUAUAUUUGAUAAGGCAUCUUAUUAAUAUUAAAGCUUCGGCACUUGAUGAUGGGUGUGCGGCUGAUUAGAUAGUUGGCGGGUAACGGCCCACCAAGUCUACGAUCAGUAGCUGAUGUGAGAGCAUGAUCAGCCACACGGGCACUGAGACACGGGCCCGACUCCUACGGGAGGCAGCAGUAAGGAAUAUUGGACAAUGGACGAAAGUCUGAUCCAGCCAUGCCGCGUGAAGGAUUAAGGUCCUCUGGAUUGUAAACUUCUUUUAUAUGGGACGAAAAAAGGGCAUUCUUGUUCACUUGACGGUACCAUAUGAAUAAGCACCGGCUAACUCCGUG
rnacentral:rRNA from 1 species